UCACUAAUACUUCCCAAUUCAGCAGAAUUACUAAGGCUGCCGGAAAAUUAUCAUUUUCUUCCUUCUUUUGUUUACUGCUUAAUUCCAUAAGAGCAAAGAGUAUUGUUCUCCAUCCACAAUUGUAGCUGGCUACAUUUUAAUUAACAUAGUUGACUGUUCAAGACAAUAACUCCCAUGGAUUUCACGUUUCUUCACUCGCAUGGGCUGAAUUGAGUCCGUUUGCGGCUGGGCUCGCGAUUCCGUCCAAACUUUGAUUACCAUUUCAAGUUUGGUUGAAGUUCUUUUGGAAAUUCAGUCGAGUUUUUGAUUCGCAAUUUUGGCAUUUUAGUCCAAUGAUUUUUACUUUGUUUACCCCGAUUGAUUUGCAAUUUUGAACUUUGUUCAUUAAUAAAAGGUCUAUUUCUCAA
rnacentral:lncRNA from 1 species